CCCGUACCUGCACGCACAUGUGCGGCCGCCCUGCCAGCCCUCCCGCCCCUCCACCUGCAGCAGCGGUUAGGGAUGGGGAAAUUGCUCGGGGUGUCGGGCCCGGGCAGCACCAAAACCCGUGGCCUAGGGUCAACUGGCAGGCGCGCUGGUGGUUUUUGCACCAAAUUCCCACGCUGAAGCCCUCCGCCCUGCUCCCGCAGGUGGCUGGGAAGGCGGCGCAGAGCCGAGCUGCUGCCUGCGAGGAGCUGGGGCCAGGGCCGCUGCUGCCUGCAUGCUCAACCCCUGCUCAUCAACCUGCCCUGGCACGGGCACGGCGCAGGCACGUCCCCUGCUUGGAGACUCCAGCCGUGCUUACACACAGCCUACACACGGCGCGCACGCCCCCAGCUCGGCUCCCUCCUGGCGGCUGCCAGACAGCACCAGGCCGUCCUCGCAAGACCCCCUCCUCCCCCCAGCCGCGCACACAGGCAGAGCGGGAGCGCGCUCGCACGCACACCUGCAGCCGUGCACGCCGCCGGGCCCUGCUGAUUCACGCACAGAUGCUCCCAGCCCCAGCUGCUCAGCGCCAGCAGCUUGGAGGAGGACGCGUGUCCCGCUGGAGCGGGGCCGCCUCGGGCGGCACAGCCGCGGUCAGCACGGCGGGGGGGGGAGCGAGGAGCACGCACGCCUGCUCUGCUUCGCUGCACGCCGGCAGGCAGCGGGGAAGAGGCCCCGCUCGGGACCAGGGGCUGCGGCAGCUUCCAGUCGCAGGGCAGGGGGGGCACCCUGGGCUCAGGGCCCCUGGGCAUCUUCCCUGUUCCGCAGGCACCGGCCGUGUCCCGUGCCGAGCUGGGGGCCUCCCAAGGGGCUGCAGCCCUGCUCCCACCUGCCUGUCCCUGUGUCCCACGCCUCCCCAGCCAGCUCUGGCCCCACCACCUGCACGUCCCCUCUCUUUGUCUAGGUACUGGCCCCACGCUGCCCUGCAGCAUCACCUUUGGCCCUGUGGCAGGGGCCCUCCGGACCCUACAAAAUGGAGCCGUCCCCCCAUUCCCUCACCUCAUUCUCCCGUGAGGUCUGUGUGCCUGCUGGUGCAUGCUGCUGGCCUGUGAGGCUGCAGGACACAUGGGACAUAACCCUCAGCCCCAGCUGCUUGUUGAGACACUGAGCACCCCUUGGAGGGCUGGGACCUGGUGGUCUCCAAGCCUAGGCACUUCUGCUUCUGGGGGUGCAGGAAACAGGGGCCCUGGCUCAGGGAUGUGUGCCCCCUUCCCAGCCACCCCUGGCC
rnacentral:lncRNA from 1 species